CGAAUUGUAUAACAUUUAUUGUGUUGUUUCUUUUCAGUCUGGAUGUUUAUAAGAGCAAUGAAGACGGAGCUUAAAGAAGUGGUCGUGACGAGAGAAGGUAAG